UAGGAGAGGAAGAAGCAGGCUCAUAGCAGAAGAGCCUGAUGUGGGGCUCGAUCCCAUAAAGCCGGGAUCACGCCCUGAGCCGAAGGCAGACGCCCAACCGCUGUGCCACCCAGGCGCCCCCCAGACAGAACAUCUUAAUAAGAGACCUUGAGGGGCACAUGGUGGUUCACUUGGUAGAGCGCGCAAUUCUUGAUUUCAGGGUUAUGAGUUUGAGCCUUACAGUGAGUGUAGAAUUUACUUUUUAAAAAAAAUUUUUUUUAAGAUUUUAUUUUUAAGUAAUCUCUACACCCAAUAUGGGGCUCAAAAUCACAACCCCAAGAUCAAGAGUCGCACUGAGAAAGGGACAGGAGGGGCUAGGUAGGGAGAGAUAAAUAGGGGGCUCCAUGAUCAGGCUCACAGAAAUCCCCCAAAUGCGGAGAUGUAGGGAAACCAGGGAUAAGGGAACACUCCAGACCCCCCUGCCAUAGGUGUCCGAGGGAGUCUUAUUUAUGACAGUCUCCUGUGGUCAACAGAAAAUAAACAGACCCUAAAAAGAAAGAAGUAAGCCAUUAAAGAUGUUAUCAGUAGUCCUCCUUACACAAAGGUGCUGUCUGUAGAGAAGUCAAAAAGAUUGAAGUUCCCUGGUUAAUUUUCUAUAAAAGACCAACCCUAAUCACCCUCAGUGGCAACCCUGUUGGGACCCCUCUCACUUCCGAGAGCUUUUUUGUAUCCUUGCCUAAUAAAUCUCUAUUGCUUUGCUCACUCUCCUUUGUUGGAGAGAUUCAUUCUUCGACUCCAUGAGACAAGAACCUAGCUCUCCUGCAUCAGCACCCUCCACCAACUGAGAUAGGCAGAUGCCCCCCCAAAAAUUUUUCUUAAAAAAAAGGGACCUUGGCUUGGGCCCUCCUAAAGGAGAGUGAUGGCCGGUUUGCCAUCAUCUGCAGUCCCUCAGCCCUUGGCAAAUUUGGUGACAGAAAAUUGCCUUCUGGAUCUAAUGUUUCUGGCAGAGGUGCUGAGAGGAGGCAGCAGGAGGCCAUCGUCUUUGUGGGUGGCCUGUGUGUGUCCUGAGCAGCCAGGCCUGGGCACUAAGGUCACGGUGUUCACCAAGGUGACUGUCUAUCUGAAGUGUAGCAGCCAUGUGAACCAGAAGAAUCUUCCGGACCUGUUGUCAUUGGACAUGAUCAACCCACUGCUAGGGACUGACUGUAAACCAUGGAGCUGGGAUCUGAAUUCAGUCUGGUUCCAAAGUCUGUACCAUUAUACCAGGCCAAGAUCAAAAGUUUCCAAUAUUUAAGUCUCCUUCUCAUACAGGCUUUUCUGGGUUUGGCUUUAUGCAGACACACCCAACACCAUGCUAAGUGAGAUUCCUACAUAUUUCCUGCAAUCCUGCAAGACAGUAAUUAUUAUUAUCCAGCUUCACAGAAGAGUCAAGCCCUAAGGGUAAAUUCUGAGUUGGGAUUCAAACUUAGAUUUUUUUCACUAGGAUCUAGGACAGAACUAUUCUUCUGCCUUAAGGAUUCUCUUUAUUUUCAGCGGAACAUCCCAGUGCUGGAUGAGGCCUGAGGGUUACAACCGAAGAGGGGCUGCAGGUCUGAGGCUCUGGGGCCCACAGUUCCUGUCCAGUCCCAUUCAGUCUCCCCCUUGCCCCCAGUCUAAGUGAAAAGAGGGAGCCCAAAUAAACACGCAGCUCCUUAUACUUGAGGCCACUUGGGUCCUCCCAGCCUCCUCCCUGGUUGGGACCUCUACGUCCUGGCCACACCUUAAGUCCCAUGGUCCUACGGUCCCUCUCCCAGGCUUUUUUUUUUUUUUUUUUUUUUUUUAAAGAUUUUAGAGUCGCAGGCUCCUCUGAGCCAGCCAGGGGACCCUGCCUUGCGCACUCUUUACCACCUCCUCUGCACCCUAAUCCUGUCUGUGCUUAAACAGAUGUCCACCUCGAAUAAGAAAACCGAAGUUCUAGCGGGGGCCUCGUUGUUCCGAAUCCCAACAAAUAGCUCGGCUUCCGUCUGAGUGUCAGGCUAAGCGGCUCCUAUCAUCUGCCGCGUCUCACAGGGUGCAGGGAACCCGCUUUCCAACUCCACGAAAGGGGUCUCAGCACGGACGCCGCCAGCUUGACUACCGCCUCCUAGAGCCUGGGCUCACCCAGGACGGUGCCCGCGCCUGCGCGAACCGCGGAGGGGCGUGGCGAAGAGCGCGGGGGCGAUGCCUCGGCGGAAGGCGCAGGGGAGGGACGCAAUGCGCCCCUAGUGGCGGGUGUGUUCGCGCCCCCGCUCUGCAGCCUCUGGAUUCCGUUUCCACGGUUACGGCGGCGCGAAGCUGUGUCCCAGGCCAAUGUCGCCUCCGUGGAGGGCCUCACCACCAAAGAUAAAGUCGUGCUUCUGGCAGGUUCUCCCCUGCGGGAUGAAGCCAGCCUGGGUCAGUUUGAAGUAAAAGCCCUGGCGACCCUGGACGUGGUUGGCCGCACGCUAGGAGGUGAGUGGGGCUACAGAGGCCAAACUGGUGCCAUCCGUCAGUUUAUGACCCUUAGACUUACUUUGCCUUUCACAGUGUCUAACGUUUUUUGCUUUGAUUUACAACAUCUAAAAGUUGGCUGAUUUUGUGUGGAAAUACAAUAUCUGGCUUUGUUUCAAAAAUUGGGAAGAUCUGGUCACAGUGGGCGGGUGUUCCCACAUACCAACAGUCUGCCCCAGCUGAGUAGUGGCUGCUCCCUCUGGAAGGCUUUACAGUCUGCUACAGUUUCCAGUCCUCCCUCCUCCAAUCCUCAAAACCAAGUUCAGUUACCAUUUAUCAUCAGACUUGUGCUGUUGUUUCUCUUAUAGUAAAGAAAAGUGAACUCUCUUUUUAUACGUAUGUCUCCAUCAAAAGUGGGAAAACGAAAGAGGGAUCGAGAGCAUCGCAUGUUUCAAGAAAAGUGAGAACGAGCAUAUUUCUUUGUGGAAGUUAAGAAUAGUGCUGUGUGUUUAAUAUGUAACCAGACUUUGUAUCAAAAGAAUACAACUUAAGACGCCAUUAUGAAACUAACCGUAGUAAGGAUUUUGACUGGUAUACAGAAAAUAUGUGUGAUGGAAAACUCAACGAACUAAAAAAAGGACCACACUUUCUUCCACAUUUAUCAUCAAACGCAGAUAAAAUAAGCGAUGCUGAAGUGAAAUGCGGUUAUGUCGUAAGUGAAAAAAUUGCCCGGGCAUCAAAACCUUUCACAGAUGGUGAGUUUAUAAAAGACUGUCUGUUGAGUGCAGCAGAAAUCAUGUGGCCAGAGCAGAAACAAGCAUUUGCAAACCGAAGUCUAACUGGAAACACUGUUCCUCAGCAAGUCAAAGAUAUGGCUGAGAACCUACAGGACAAGUUGUGAGAAAAAGUGAAAUCAUUUGUGACAUUUUCUAUUGCAGUGGAUGAGAGCACAUGCAUAAAUAAUACAAGCCAGUCAGUUAUAUUUAUCCGGGGUGUUGAUGAGAAUUUUGACAUCUCUGAAGAACUUUUGGACAUGGUGCCCAUGACAGACCCAACAUCUGAAAAUGACUUAUUCAGGUAUGUUGAGAAAAGUCUUGAAAAAGUUAAUGUUGACUGGUCCAAACUAUAAGUGUGACCACAGAUGGUGCUGCUGCCAUGGUCUGUGGUAACACUGGACUUGUUGCAAAACUUAGAUCCAAGGUCAAAAUGCUUUUCAAGGAUGCAGAACUUAAAGCUAUUCACUGCAUUAUUCCCCAGGAAUUGUUUUGCACUAAAAAGUUAAAAUUAGGGGCGCCUGGGUGGCACCGCGGUUGAGCGUCUGCCUUCGGCUCAGGGCGUGAUCACGGCGUUAUGGGAUCGAGCCCCACAUCAGGCUCCUCCGCUGUGAGCCUGCUUCUUCCUCUCCCACUCUCCCUGCUUGUGUUCCCUCUCUCACUGGCUGUCUCUGUCUCUGUCAAGUAAAUAAAUAAAAUCUUUAAAAAAAAAAAAAGUUAAAAUUAGAACAUGUCAUGGAUGUAGUGAUUAACACAGUGAACUGGAUACACACCCGUGGCUCCAGCCACAGGCAGUUCAGGGCUUUGCUGGAGGAACUGGAUGCACAAUGUGGUUAUCUCCUUUACUAUACAAAGGUAAGGUGGCUUAGUCGUGGCAUGGUACUGAAGAGAUUUUUUUUUUUUAAGAUUUUAUUUAUUUAUUUGACAGAGAGAGAGACAGCACAAGCAGGGGGAGCAGAAGAGGGAGAGGGCAAGAGAGAGGGGGAAGCAGGGAGCCUGAUGUGGGGCUUGAUCCUAGGACCCUGGGGUCAUGACCUGAGCCGAAGGCAGAUGCUUAACUGACUAAGCCACCCAGGCGCCCCUUAAACCAUGAAUUCUUUACAGAUUUAUGUCAUAGUUCUCCUUGUUCUUUUGAACAAUACAGUAACUUCCUUUUCAAAUGUAUAUCUAGUUCUCCCUUCAAUUUCAUUUUACCUUCUUUAUUCUGAUUCUUUGUUUUCAAAACAUGCUUUUGAAUUACCUUUCUAAUUGUGUAUUAUCAGCCUUUUCAAGAUUUAUAGUUUUGAAACCAAAUGUCUCUCUCCCCUGUGGAUGCCCAAGUGAUUUCUGGAAUGGUGGGGAGGGAUUUUGAGGGCACCCAUUUAGAAUAAAACCUGUACAGCGGUGCCUGGCUGCCUCAGUUAGGAGCAUGUGACUCUUGAUCUCGAGGUUGUGUGUUUGAGCCCCACACUGGGGCUUAAAAAUAAAAUCUUAAAAGAUAAUAGUAAUAAUUAAAAAAUAAAACCUGUACAGCUGGGGUGCUCUGCUGGCUCAGUCAGUAGAGCAUGCAGCUCCUGAUCUCAGAGUCGUAACUUUGAGCCUCACACGUAGCACAGAGUUUACUUAAAAAAUAAAAAAAUUGGGGCGCCUGGGUGGCGCAGUCAUUAAGCGUCUGCCUUUGGCUCAGGGCAUGAUCCCGGCAUUGUGGGAUCGAGCCCCA